rnacentral:rRNA from 1 species
CCUUGUCCAAACCGGAUCAGUGCAUUCGAGAAGGGCAAAGCUGGUGUGGAGAACACCAGGUCUUGUCGUUGUGAGUGCCCCUCUCUAAUAAGGCUGCUACGAGCAGAGGACAACGGAUGGUACAUUGCAGAGCAGAGAGACAGUCACAACCACUUGCUGUUGCCUAAUUUCGGUGAGACAAUCCAUUGGCCCUCACACAAGCACAUAGAUGUGUACACCAGGGAUCUAGUGAAACAGUUAAGGCAAAACAAUGUGAACUUAGCAAAGGUGUACAACAUCAUUGGAGGCUUCUUUGGAUCAAUGGAAAAUGUUCCGUUCACUAAGAGGUCGUUAUGUAACCUGUGUGGGAAGAUAAACAGGACCGUGCAAAAGAUAAUGUGA